ACUAGGGCUCUCCAGGGUACAAACGCCGCGAGAAUCGUGUUGUGAAGCGCACCUCAAGCCAGUCAACGUCGCAACACAGCCAAGCAGUUCCGGCAACAUGACACCAGUGUAUCAGUAAGUGCCGUCCGUCGCCGUCUCCUCCAGUAGCUCCAGCCCAGUCAGCGCCCUACAGGACCGGACGGCUUCAAGAAGCCGAUGGAGUUGCUGCAUGAGGAGAAAUGGAUGCACUGCGAUCUGGGAAGCUGCAAAGAACGAGAGAACGUUGUGAUGAUCUCACUCACGCUCCAAUUUGUAGCCAAAUGACACCACUGGCAGAGGGUAACAUGGCAGAUAAUCGACAACGAAUAAUUCAUCAUGUCCAGGACGCGGAGCUGACAAUUACAAACAAUGAUAUCCAGUUCCAUCUCAGAUGAGCAGCAACCCGACUCAACAUAUCGGCCACGCCAGAGACAGCAACAUCCACCGAGUUGUCUCAACGGGCCAGGAUGGAGAGGG